rnacentral:rRNA from 1 species
UACGAAGGGGGCUAGCGUUGUUCGGAAUUACUGGGCGUAAAGCGCGCGCAGGCGGUCUUCCAAGUCAGUGGUGAAAGCCCGGAGCUCAACUCCGGAACUGCCAUUGAAACUGUGAGACUUGAGGAUGAGAGAGGUGAGUGGAAUUCCCAGUGUAGAGGUGAAAUUCGUAGAUAUUCGGAAGAACACCAGUGGCGAAGGCGGCUCACUGGACUGGUAUUGACGCUGAGGUGCGAAAGCGUGGGGAGCAAACAGG